rnacentral:rRNA from 1 species
CCUACGGGAGGCAGCAGUGGGGAAUUUUCCGCAAUGGGCGAAAGCCUGACGGAGCAAUACCGCGUGAGGGAAGACUGCCUAUGGGUUGUAAACCUCUUUUUUCAGGGAGGAAUAAAUGACGUGUACCUGAAGAAUAAGCAUCGGCUAACUCCGUGCCAGCAGCCGCGGUAAGACGGAGGAUGCAAGUGUUAUCCGGAAUCACUGGGCGUAAAGCGUCUGUAGGUUGUUGUUUAAGUCAACUGUUAAAUCUUGAGGCUCAACUUCGAAAUCGCAGUCGAAACUAUUCAACUAGAGUAUAGUAGGGGUAAAGGGAAUUUCCAGUGGAGCGGUGAAAUGCGUAGAUAUUGGAAAGAACACCGAUGGCGAAGGCACUUUACUGGGCUAUUACUAACACUCAGAGACGAAAGCUAGGGUAGCAAAUGGGAUUAGAUACCCUAGUAGUC